rnacentral:lncRNA from 1 species
GAGGGCCCACAUCAUCCUAAUCAUAUAUUUUUCAAUCCAAAGGCUAAAAUACUAAUAGCACCAAUAGCUUUGUGCUAUUAAUGGUAUUCCAGCCUAGUUCUACUAUUAUAUAUUAUAUAUUACAUACUUAAUUUUUAUAUAAUGUAUUUUAAAUAUAUUUUAUUUAUAACUAUAAAUUAUAAUAUUAAUAUAUAUAUAAUAUUAUAUAUAUAAUAUUAUAAUUAUUAUAUAUUAAUAAUACAUAAUAUAUAGAAAAAGAGAAAAAAAUAUAUAAUAAUUUUUUAUUUAUAUUUUUCUUCAACCAAAUAAUCGUGAUGAAAAAUUAUUUUUUUUUCUACAAAUUAAAUACUAGAGAGUGUAAAAUUUAUUUUUCAUCAAAAUUUUUUUUCACAGUUUUAGGUGCAAGGAAACACACCCUAACUAAAGUAGGCUCAACUAUUUGCAUAUAUUUUAUAAGGACUAGCGACUUUUUUUUAGGUUCAUCGUGCUGCGAACAAACAGAAAACAUAUAAAUAAUUAAAUACUAUUUUUAAAAUUUAUAUUAAAUUAAGAGUUAAUUUCAUAUGAGUUUUUACAAAUAUAGUGAAUUACAAACAUAUCCAUACAAAGUUUAACAUUUAUUUAUUGUUUCCGUAAAAGUUAUGAUGUUUUCAAAUAUGUCAUUGUCGUUAGUAUCUACUAGAAAAAAUUAGUUAACCAUAGGUAAAAUACUUAAUUCUAAUUAGUUAGUAAGAUGAAUUAACUUUUUUUUAUCCCUCUUUAAUUGAUAGUUGGAAUUUUUGGAACGAUGUAUUUGUGAUGCUAAAAUGAUUAUUUCACUUAUAAAAUAAAAGGUAACUUCGGAUACCAUUUGUCCAUCCAUGUGGUUUCGCACUUCUUUACUUUAAUAUCAUGUGGUUUAAAGUGUAUAAAGUUAGUGCCCUGUGUUUUAUUUUUAUUUUUUCGUCAACUUCUCUGUUAAUAUUUCGCUAAAGUAUAUAUAUAAAAAACUUCAAAUACUCUACCUAGAUUUAUCGAAUAUUUAUUUUAGUACUCUUUAGUUUUAACUUUGUCAAUGAUUUAACGGAAAAAAUUAGUAAAUCAAUAAUAAAAAGAUAAAAAUAAAACCACAUGACACAAAAAUUGAGACACGUUAAACUACGGGGUACUAAAGUGAGAAAGUGUGAAACCAUAGAGAUGAUAUUUAAAGUUUUUUCUAAAAUAAAUAAUAUUUUAACGAUAACAAACAACAAUGACAUAUUUGAAAACAUUAAAACUUUUAUCGGAACAUCAUAUGAAAGUUGAACUUUGUAGGAAUAUAUAGGGACGGAGCCAUGUAUAGACCCAAAGGGGCCAUGGCCUCCCUCAACUUUUUAAUAUUUAUUUUAUAAUUCUUUGGUAGUUUAUAAAUUUUUAGUUAAUUUUUAAAAAAUAUGGAUUUAUCUUGUAAAAAAAUUUUAGUGUUAGUAUAGAGAGCUUUCUCUCUUCUUAUGUAUUUAUAGGUGAAAAUAUACUAAGAACCUCUUAAUUAUAGUGCAUUCUAAAAUAAGUACUUUCAACUUUAAAUAUUUUAUUUAUACAUUAUUAACUUUAUAAUUAUUUUGAUGAGCUAAUUUAUUUAACUAAAUAAAAUAUUAUAAUAAAUUUAAUAGCUCUAUUAGAUAUUAGUUAUUGGUUAUUAUUAUUUUAUUAACAAAAAAUUAAAAAUUUAAAUUCCAACUAAAUUCCAACUAGAUUUAGUAAAAUUCUUAAGUUAUUUGAAUAGAAUAAUGUAAAUAAAAUAAUUGGAAGUUAAGCGAGUGUAAAUUAAAAAAAUAAAUUUUAUAUAUUUUAACAUUAAUUAUCUAUUCACUAAAUUUUUUUAUUAAAAAUUUGAGUAGUUAAAAUCUUAUUUAUCUACUAAAAUUUUUAUUUGUACAUAUUUUGGCCCCCCUCGUAAUUGAAUCUUGACUUCGUCCCUGGGAAUAUAUUUGUAAUUCACUGUGUUUACAUGGACUUGCAUGAAAUUAAUCCUUAAAUUAAAUACUAGAUU